AGCCUUGAAACUUGCCUCCUCUUCAUCCGUCCAAGAAAGGGCAACCUCCUCGCCCAUAUGGUCAAAUCCCCACUGGUAGAAAGCAGGGCCGAGUUCACGUCUCAGCUGCAGCCGCCUUUCUGCAAUGUGAAACCUGACACAUUCUACUGA
rnacentral:rRNA from 1 species